rnacentral:rRNA from 1 species
UACGAAGGGGGCUAGCGUUGUCCGGAAUUACUGGGCGUAAAGGGCGCGUAGGCGGCGUGUCAAGUCAGGCGUGAAAGCCCCGGGCUCAACCUGGGAACCGCGCUUGAGACUGGCAUGCUCGAGUUCGGGAGAGGAUGGUGGAAUUCCCAGUGUAGAGGUGAAAUUCGUAGAUAUUGGGAAGAACACCGAUGGCGAAGGCAGCCAUCUGGACCGACACUGACGCUGAGGCGCGAAAGCGUGGGGAGCAAACAGG